GUGGGGAAUAUUGCCCAAUGGACGCAAGUCUGAGGCAGCAACGCCGCGUGGGCGAUGAAGGCCUUCGGAUUGUAAAGCCCUUUUCUGGGGGAAGAGGAAGGACGGUACCUCAGGAAUAAGUCACGGCUAACUACGUGCCAGCAGCCGCGGUAAUACGUAGGUGGCAAGCGUUAUCCGGAUUCACUGGGCGUAAAGCGCGUGCAGGCGGUUUCGUAAGUCGGACGUGAAAGCUCCUGGCUUAACUGGGAGAGGUCGUUCGAUACUGCGGGGCUUGAGGUCGGGAGAGGGACGUGGAAUUCCCGGUGUAGUGGUGGAAUGCGUAGAUAUCGGGAGGAACACCAGUGGCGAAGGCGACGUCCUGGCCCGCACCUGACGCUGAGACGCGAAAGCGUGGGUAGCGAACGGGAUUAGAUACCCUGGUAGUCC
rnacentral:rRNA from 1 species